GUUAACCUCUGGUGAUGAGGUUAGAAACCGCGUACCCAUAUGAGGGCAGGUAAUGUCCAGGGUCCUUGAAAGGAAUCAUCCAGUCAAGAAAUACCCAGAACAGGACUGGCAUAUAGAAGACACUAAGGUCACUCCAUCUUCUGGAUCUUGGGCUUCUGCUCUGAAAAACCCUCCCGAGAGCUGAUGGGGCUGCAAAGA